GACGAACGCUGGCGGCGUGCCUAACACAUGCAAGUCGAGCGGUCUCGCCUAUAGCAAAAGGCCUUCGGGCUUCGAGCAAAGGCGAGAUAGCGGCGGACGGGUGAGUAACGCGUGGCUUAUCUGUCCCAGGGAGGGGGAUAACGUCUGGAAACGGGCGCUAAUACCCCAUAUGCCGGUGAGGUAAAAAGGAGAAAUCCGCCCUGGGGUGAGGCCGCGUCCUAUCAGCUAGUUGGUGAGGUAACGGCCCACCAAGGCUAUGACGGGUAGCCGGCCUGAGAGGGCGGCUGGCCACACUGGGAUUGAGAUACGGCCCAGACUCCUACGGGAGGCAGCAGUGGGGAAUAUUGGGCAAUGGGGGAAACCCUGACCCAGCGACGCCGCGUGGAGGAAGGAGCCCUUCGGGGUGUAAACUCCUGUUGUAAGGGAAGAAGACAGUGACGGUACCUUACGAGGAAGCCCCGGCAAACUACGUGCCAGCAGCCGCGGUAACACGUAGGGGGCGAGCGUUGUCCGGAAUCACUGGGCGUAAAGCGCACGCAGGCGGAUGCGCGCGUCAGCUGUGAAAUGCACCGGCUCAACCGGUGCACUGCGGUCGAUACGGCGCGUCUGGAGUGCGGGAGAGGGAAGCGGAAUUCCCGGUGUAGCGGUGAAAUGCGUAGAUAUCGGGAGGAACGCCGGUGGCGAAGGCGGCUUCCUGGCCCGCAACUGACGCUCAUGUGCGAAAGCCAGGGGAGCGAACC
rnacentral:rRNA from 1 species